rnacentral:lncRNA from 1 species
CUGGCGUCCCUCCAUUCCCUCCAGCUGCCUGGCUGUCUCUGCUAGGCUGUGCCACCACUGCUGAUUCGUGUUUACUAUCCCGACUCUACCAGACUGGACUGCUGAUGUAUUCAUGAAGUGUUUGCGGGUGGAUCAAGCUGCUGCUGCUGACCUGUGAACUGAACUGCUGAUUUCCAGACAACACAGAUGGGAGUUGUUACAAAGGACCUUUCUAAACAGGUCCACUUUUCCCACAUCCUUUCUUUCCCACUGCCUCUGGAUUUCCCGUUGCUCUGGCUGGCCAUGAAAUCACUA